rnacentral:rRNA from 1 species
GACGAACGCUGGCGGCGUGCUUAACACAUGCAAGUCGAACGGAAAGGCCCUGCUUGCAGGGUACUCGAGUGGCGAACGGGUGAGUAACACGUGGGUGAUCUGCCCUGCACUUCGGGAUAAGCCUGGGAAACUGGGUCUAAUACCGGAUAGGAGCCAUUUUUAGUGUGAUGGUUGGAAAGUUUUUUCGGUGUAGGAUGAGCUCGCGGCCUAUCAGCUUGUUGGUGAGGUAAUGGCCUACCAAGGCGGCGACGGGUAGCCGGCCUGAGAGGGUGGACGGCCACAGUGGGACUGAGAUACGGCCCAGACUCCUACGGGAGGCAGCAGUGGGGAAUAUUGCACAAUGGGCGCAAGCCUGAUGCAGCGACGCCGCGUGGGGGAUGACGGCCUUCGGGUUGUAAACUCCUUUCGCUAGGGACGAAGCUUUUUGUGACGGUACCUAGAUAAGAAGCACCGGCUAACUACGUG